rnacentral:snRNA from 1 species
GGGUGUAAAGGCUAUCUGGCUGCAACAUCUGUCACUUCCAUGAUUGCUGGGGUUGACUCAGCUGAUCUGCCUGGCUAGGCAGGGAUUCCCUUCCUCCCUCACCACAGCUUCAGGAGAGAAUGGACAUGAAUCUGUGCUCCCCUGCCAGAACCUCAAAACAAGCUCUCAAGAAAAAAAAAGCAAACAUAAUUCUCAAAAAUAUAACUUCUGUGAACACAUCAGAGACUACAUGUUACAGGACAGCUGAGUAU